CAGAUGAUGGGGGGUGUCUCUCACAUUGCAGAUGAGUACCCUAACCACUGAGAUAAAAGUUCUGAGGGAGUGCUCCUUCCCCCAGCGUUUUGUGUAAGCUCGCCUAUAGGGGCCUGAUUGGGUGGUGAGGUCUGGGCACACUUAAUGGAUUGGGCCACACAGGGCCAGGCCCUCCCUGAGGCAUAUCCUUAGCAACUACACGAGCCACUGUUCAAAAUGAUGCAUACGUGAGGUUACACCAGAGUCUCUGCAAUGACAUAACUCCAUGAAGUUCAUCCAGAUUUUUAGGUUCAGCACUGCCAGGCACUGUAAUUGACUUCAGUUUCAGUGGAGGCUGCUUAACACUUUGCAAAAUCCAGCCUAUACAGCCAUGUAUGUUAGAGGAGAAUCAGGCCAUAUAUCCCCUUUUCUUGGAAAGAAUGAAAAGGAAUCUGCUCUUGCAUUAAAUUUGUGCCAGCAAAGUGGCCCAAAUUCUACCCUCAUCUGAAGUAACUCAAUGGACUUGAACAAAGUUACUCCAUCACAUUUGCAUAGGUGUCACAGAGCAGAAUGUCACCCAGUUCCAAUCCACAGUUCCUGUGAAAUCUGAUUCACUCUGAAGAGUUCAUAAAGGAGAUCCUUUCACUUUACAGUCACUUAAUAUGGAGAAUUGCAAAAUACCUCCCUUACAGAUACAUCAUCUACAAAUGGCUGUUUCCUGGAAUUUGGUGCCAAAGGUUUUAAGCCUGAGAAGAUCUGGGGCCAAAUUCUGCUCUCACUUACUCAAGUGGAACCCCCAGGGAGCAGAAUUUGCCUCUCUGUUUAAAUCCGGGGCUUAUCGGAGAACAUUUACUGUUGUUUGUUUUUU